GUGCCAGCGCAGGGGAUGGGAGGAAGGAUAGCGCGGACACCUGAGGAUGUGCACUCCGAGGUUUGAAAUCAAAGCCCCACAGCCCAGUGCCACCAGCAGAGCGCUGCGUCCAGCAGCGUCAUUCCCAGUGGAUUUGGCUCUUCGUGGCUCUGAUGUCCCCUCACCCCUGCCACAGCUCCAGCAGCCCACGUGCUGCACAGCAGAAAAUACCAAGGAACAGCAAAUCUCGCCUUUGAAAGGCAAAUGAUUUUGUUGAUUAUUUCAGCCUCCUGCUCUGGAGGCAGUUAAUGCUCUCAUCAGGAGCUCCAGGGGCCGGAGCGGCGCCGGGGAUGCUGGGGGGCUCUUCCCUGCCAGCAGCAGGAUGUGGUUGGAGCACUUUCAAAUAUUAAUUAGACCUUCUUGCUGUUAAUGAAUCACUCCUGAUUUUUGCAAACUCUUGGCUUUCAAAUGCUCCAUGCAGAGCUCAGCCCAGUGCUCCUCAGAGUGGGGAUAGAGAGCAGGACUGUCUCACAGCUACUUUUCCAGGUGACACUGACCUGCAGAGCUCCUCUGGGGACAGUCACCACGUGCCACCCAAGGACAGCCAGCAGAGCUCCUUCAGACCACACAGUGCACCUUGCUCUUUUGGGAGCCUUUAUGCUUUUUUUUCCCCAAGCUCCAGGAGGAAUUCCCUGCUGUCAGCUGUUCUCCUGCCAUGAUGAUCCCUCAUUUCCAGAGGCAAGAGCCGGAGCAGUGCACUCACCCUCCUACAUUCCUCUGGAAUUGCUGGCGUGUGGGGGGACCAGCAAGCUACCGGCUGGAAAACCCCUGGGAAGCUUGCAGGGAGGCAGUUGGAACAAUCAGUGUUUGCCCUUCUCUGGUGCCUUUCAGCAGAGGAUCUCCAAGCACACCGAUCCAGAGGCUAAUCAGGCAGAAACGGGAACAGCUGGCAGGACAGCGGCGGGACGCGAGCGGCCGCGGUGGGAUGUGGAGGAGCCGCCCCAGUGGGAUGAGGAGUGGCCUUGCACACCACGGAGCAGUGGGCAGGAGGUUCUGGAUCUCUGCUCUACCCUGGGAUUAACUCCUACCUGCCUCCCACUUCCCUGAAAUCAUUGUUGAUGCUGCUGGUCUGUCAGGCUGAGGCAGAGCUCACCCUCUGGCAGAGACACACCUCGGUGAUCAGGAUUAUGAUUUAUUUUCCAGGCAGGAUUGGUCCAACAGCCCGGGCAGGUGAUGAAGAGCUUGAGUCCUGAUCCUGAUCCUCACCACUUUGGAGAGCAGAGUCAAAAUCUGAGGGCUCAGUCCUCCUUUGCCAGGAGAAGAGAUGGGAGAAGACACCGUGGCAAAGCAGGGCCCAGCUGAAGCAACAUCCCGCCUCCAACAGGGACCUUCCUGACUGUCCCCACCUCAGGAAUUCCACCUCAUCCACCCAAGUGAGACCUCAUCUCUCCAAGCCACAUCUCCCUGCAGGACCAACAGCAGCCUCACUGUGAGCCACUCUUUGGUGGAAUCCUGGCGUUGGGUGAGUGACCAGCACCCGAGGGAUGCUUGGGAAGGCGCAGCUCCCAGCGAUCCGGAGCCUCUCGGGCACUGCUGGGAUUGAUUGGAGGCAUCCCUGCUCCUGAAGGGGAGUGACGCCGCCUCGGCAGCGGUGAUAAAUGAAGACCCCUUCCCGCUGUGCCUGGAGGAUCCUGCUGGCACAAGAGAGACCAUCCGAGGACACUGGUAUCUCAAGGAGAACACUGGCUGCUCCCACGCCUCUCCCACACCAACAUCCAAGAGCAAUCAAUGGCUGUCAUGCCUUGUGGGCCCCUGGCCACUGGGGCAGAGCAGGAUUUAGCCACCCACGUGAAAUCUGGAGGUAAUUUAAUGGCUCCUGAGAAAGGGAACCAACCCACUGGAAGGGAAUCGCUGUUUGUUCCCGCACCUUGCCACGAACAUCGCCGGGAGCGGCGGCAGCAGCAGGCAGCAGCGCUGAGCCUGCUGUCAGAGCCACGCUGGGAGAAAGGGCAAAACCCUGCCGAGAUGAAAGAAUGGGAAGCACUGGAACAGCCUCCCCUGGCAUUUACACCUGGAAAAAAAUAAAUCACUCAAGGGCAUCUCACAAAGAGCUGUGUUAAUAAGGCUCUCCUCCCCACGCUGUGUGGCUGCGCCGGCGGAGCGGAACAUGGAGCGGUGCCAGGAGUGCUGGCAGCAGCUCAGGCACCUGGGAGGUGAAGGGAGCAGCGCAGCAUGACCAGGAGCCUCUCCAAGCCCUCACAGCCACAGGACAAGAGCAGAUGAACGCUCCCCAGGCUGCACGUCCCGCUCCAAGGGGGCCACGCUGCUCCAGUGGAAAACAGUGGAUAAACCAGGCAAACCUUGAAGGUUUCUGCAAACCAGGCAGCCAAGAGUUUGGAGGUUCAGUCCUCAUUAGCAGGAACUCAUGGGUGACUGAUAUGACACAAGCAGGCUGAGCAGGGACCCCCCCCUGCUCCUCCAGCCUGAAUUACUGCACAUGCGUUUGCCCAGAGGACCAGCCAGAAAAGAAAAUGGGUAAGUAAAAAUGGAAAACGCUUCUUUUUUUCACAUUAGCAUUUAAGUAUUUAUGGAAAUCCCUGCAGACAACCAGAUGAAAAAGAAAACUCAAUGAGUAAUAAAUAAGUCAAUGCUCCAAGGUGUGGCUGCACAGCUGAACGUGGCUGGUGGAGCUUUGAAGAGUGUGGUAACAAAAAAAUAAUGGCAAUAAUAAAAAUAUUAGAGCAGAUCCCUCUGCUCCCUGCAGCCACUGAAGGAUGAUCAAACCUUAGCAAAAGGGAGAAUCACCUCUUCUUUUCCAUGCACUGACCUGGGGCCUGGCCUUGGACACUGCCAGGGAUCCAGGGGCAGCCACAGCUGCUCUGGGCACCCUGUGCCAGGGCCUGCCCACCCUCCCAGGGAAGGAUUUCUUCCUAAAUCCCUGAAAUGGGAUGGAAUUGAGUAAGACGGGAUGGGGAAGAAUGAUUCCCAGCAGUCAGGGGUUCGUUCCAGGCUCUCCUUCCAGGCUGUGAGAGCAGCACUGCUGCAGCACAGCUCGAGGGGCAAAAGCAGACACAGAACAAGAGGGAAGAGCCUGGAUUUUGGAGCUGCAGGUGCCUGCUGUUCCCACCAUCUCUCAGCUGGGGAGCAAUUGCUCCACGCCUUUGGAAACGAGCCUCAGUGCAGCAGAGGUUCUCAAAGAAGGAAAGGGUUGGCAUCAAAGAUGUUUGAUACGACGAGAGCAGAGCUUUAGAGAGUAAACAAAUUCUGUGCCAAAAGCUGCUCUCAUUUACAGCUACAAAAAUCCCAAGUCACUCUGAACUGCUGAAAACAUCAGUUUCACCAGCAGGCAAGGAAACAGAAUCAUAGAAUCAGGGAAUCACAGAGUGUUUUGGGUUGGAAGGGACCUUAAAGCUCAUCUCGUCCCAUCCCUCCCAUGUCCUGGUGACCCCAGGGCUUCCAGCUGUCAGGCAAACCUGGAAAUACUGAAUCCUCAAGGAGAAGGAAUAAGGAGAAGGGAAUUCUCUCUUCAAAGUGUUGGAAGGGUGUGUGUAAGGAACAUUUGGGGGUGAUAAAGGCUGAUAUACUGGAAAAUAUUUCAUCUUUAUGUUUUUAAUUUUAGAAACACCUCUUAAAUUGGGGCUGGGUGGAACGGGGAGCCCAGCACAUGCCUGGUGUGGCUUCUGCUCCUGCCCCAUGGAUAUCUGGUGGGAUCUCCUUCCUACAGCAGCACACGGAGCUGUGUCUGGGUCCAGCUGGCAUUUUUGGGGGUGUCCUUCCAUGUCAGUCAUGGGAAGGUGGCCCCCAGCUCUAAGCUGCUUCCAAAGGCAGCAGGUGAGCGCUGCCAUCCUGCCCCACCGUGAGCUGAUCCCUGCCAGGCUCCAAAAGAAGCUCCUGCAGGCAGGAGCCCACACUCCAUCCGGUGGGAUCACACCGGUAACUCGCUUAAUUUCAACGCAUUACAAUUAAGGAAUCAUUUCUUUAAAAAUAGAAUUUGCAUUAGCUGGAUUUGUGAGUAGGAAAGCCACUGCAAACAAACAGAAAACCUGCAGAUUAAGAUGCUAAUUAGAUGCAUUUCUAUUUAUAAUCUGCCUUGAUCAGCCUCAAGUAUUUUCUCCUUCAGGUGUCUGUGCUCCACCCACGGAUGUGAGCAAUUCCCCUGGCAGGGAAACACCUGCUGCUCCCUGGGGACAGCCAAGCGCCGGGAAAAGCCUGUGCCAGAGGGAUGGGGGUGCAUCCUGCUCCUUCUCCUUAGGGAGCAGCCCCAGAGGAGGGAUGGGCUGUGCCUGGCCAAGGAUGACCUGCGCGGGGUCCUUCCUAUAAACACCACAUUCCUCUGUGCUGGAAAACUGCAGGAAGCUUUGCCUUUCCCAUCAGAAGGGGUGAAAAUCAGAGAAUCAUGGAAUUAGCUGGAAAUGAUCUUUAAGAUCAAGUCCAACCAUCAGCC